AUGUUCAAGCCAUUGUCGAUUGCCAUUGCUGUUGCGAUGGGCGUCAUGUUCCUUGGUGAUACUCUUUAUCUCGGAAGUUUGAUCGGAGCAACAAUUAUAUCUAUUGGAUUUUACACCGUAAUGUGGGGGAAAGCCAAAGAAGAGCUGGGUGAUGAUUGCAAUGCUGCUAAGCCGGAAUCCUCGUGUGCCCAGAAGGUCCCUCUAUUACAAGGCUACAACGCUACGAAGCUACAAGAUGAACAAGCGUAGGUAGGAGCAGACAGACUUUAUAUGUACAUAAAAUUAACGGCAAAAGCCAAAUUGUUCGACAACCAUCCAGUUCUUGGAAAAGAAAAUGGCAUCCAUGGUCAGGCCUUGGUUUGUAUAUUGAGAAUUGAGAUCCUCAAACUCUCCCAGCUCUAGUCAGGUAAUUGCACAAGUUCACAUCACACUUAUGUCAAGAAAACCUUUCUUUGAAGGCUACACAUUGAUGCGGAA